CUAACAGGCAGUUUUUCAAAAUGCAUUUUUCUAACUGUCAUCCUUGCGAUUUGCAUUUCAUUGGAUACAAUAUGAUGACUGAGGAUCCAAUGGUAUUCAUAAUGGAUUGUAAGGUAUUAGCAUUCACAUUUUUCACAUUUUUACAGCACAAUUUCGGGAGAGGAGAGAAAUUUAAAACAGUAUUCUGUUGUGUGACAAAUAUAAUUAGCUGCGUAUACGUUUUACGUCUAAAUAAGUGAGAUGUAUGUUUUACUUCUACAGUAUGUGUAUUUGGAUAUUUACAUUCAAAUAUUACAUUCAAUUUCUUAGCACAAUUUCAAAAAACUGCGAAACAACGUUGAGAAAAGUAGCCCACAUGGAACGUCGCGAUGUCUGACAAUAAAUGGGAAGUAUAUAUUUUGGUCAUAUUGGAAGGAGGCCUUUGCAUGGGACCAAAGAUGCAACUCAUGUCAUUUUCAUGAAAAACUGAAAGAAGAUCAUUUCAUGCUCACGCCCAGUUCAAGAAUGCGCAACGGGUUAGCUGAGGACGUUCUGGAUAAGAAAAUGCUACUUCUCAUGAAGG